rnacentral:lncRNA from 1 species
AUGAAAGAUACCGAUAUCAAGAGACUACUGUAUACCCAUCUUUUAUGCAUAUUUUCAAUUAUCCUAAGUGUCUUCAUUCCAUCACUCUUCUUGGAGAACUCCUCAAUAUUGGAAACACACUUGACAUGGUUGUGCGUCUGUUCUGGUUUUGUAACUGCUGUCAGUCUAGUACUAUAUUUAGUAGUGAAACCAAAUACAUCCUCUAAAAUAAGUUCAUUAUCAUACAAGGUAACCAGAUUUUUGAAAUGCUGUAUCUACUUUCUUAUGUCUUGUUUCUCCUUUCAUGUAAUUUUUGUUCUAUAUGGAGCACCACUAAUAGAGUUGGCAUUGGAAACAUUUUUAUUUGCAGUUAUUUUGUCUACUUUUACUAUUGUGCCUUACUUAUGUUUGUUAGGACCAAACCUCAAAGCAUGGCUAAGAGUUUUCAGUAGAAAUGGAGUUACAUCCAUAUGGGAGAAUAGUCUCCAGAUCACUGCAAUGUCUAGUUUUGUAGGAGCAUGGCUUGGAGCACGUCCUAUUCCUUGACAGGGCAAGAGCAUGGCAGGUAUGGCCCAUCUCCUGUACGCUUGGAGCGACCUUUGUCCACGUGGCUGGCCUUGUUAUUUCACCACUCUGGAUAUACUGGAAUAGAAAGCAACUUACAUACAAGAACA